rnacentral:tRNA from 1 species
UCUCCUGUAGCUCAGUGGUAGAGCGUCGACCAGUGUGCAGAAUGUCAUAGGUUAGACUCCUGUUGGGAGAA